GAUGAACGCUGGCGGCGUGCCUAAUACAUGCAAGUCGAGCGAACAGACGAGGAGCUUGCUCCUCUGACGUUAGCGGCGGACGGGUGAGUAACACGUGGAUAACCUACCUAUAAGACUGGGAUAACUUCGGGAAACCGGAGCUAAUACCGGAUAAUAUAUUGAACCGCAUGGUUCAAAAGUGAAAGACGGUGUUGCUGUCACUUAUAGAUGGAUCCGCGCUGCAUUGGCUAGUUGGUAGGGUAACGGCUUACCAAGGCAACGAUGCUUAGCCGACCGAGGGGGGGGUCGGCCACCUCGGAACUGAGACACGGUCCAGACUCCUACGGGAGGCAGCAGUAGGGAAUCUUCCGCAAUGGGCGAAAGCCUGACGGAGCAACGCCGCGUGAGUGAUGAAGGUCUUCGGAUCGUAAAACUCUGUUAUUAGGGAAGAACAAAUGUGUAAGUAACUGUGCACAUCUUGACGGUACCUAAUCAGAAAGCCACGGCUAACUACGUG
rnacentral:rRNA from 1 species